rnacentral:rRNA from 1 species
UACGUAGGGUGCAAGCGUUGUCCGGAAUCAUUGGGCGUAAAGAGCGUGUAGGCGGCCCGAUAAGUCCGCUGUGAAAGUCCAGGGCUCAACCCUGGAAUGCCGGUGGAUACUGUCGGGCUAGAGUCCGGAAGGGGCGAGUGGAAUUCCUGGUGUAGCGGUGAAAUGCGCAGAUAUCAGGAGGAACACCAAUGGCGAAGGCAGCUCGCUGGGACGGUACUGACGCUGGAGACGGCGAAAGCGUGGGGAGCGAACAGG